UUGGAGGUUGUGCCCUUGAGGCGUGGCUCCGGAGCUAACGCGUUAAGUCGACCGCCUGGGAAGUACGGCCGCAAGGUUAAACUCUCAAAUGAAUGGACGAGGGCCCGCACAAGCGGUGGAGCAUGUGGUUUAAUUCGAUGCAACGCGAAGAACCUUACCUGGCCUUGACAUCCACGGAAUUCGGCAGAGAUGCCUUAGUGCCUUCGGGACCCGUGAGACAGGUGCUGCAUGGCUGUCGUCAGCUCGUGUUGUGAAUGGGUGGGUUAAGUUCCCCAACAAGCGCAACCUUUAUCCUUUGUUGCCCGCGCGUGGUGGCGGGAACUCAAAGGAGACUGCCGGUGACAAACCGGAGGAAGGUGGGGAUGACGUCAAGUCAUCAUGGCCCUUACGGCCAGGGCUACACACGUGCUACAAUGGCGCAUACAAAGAGAAGCGACCUCGCGAGAGCAAGCGGACCUCAUAAAGUGCGUCGUAGUCCGGAUCGGAGUCUGCAACUCGACUCCGUGAAGUCGGAAUCGCUAGUAAUCGUAGAUCAGAACGCUACGGUGAAUACGUUCCCGGGCCUUGUACACACCGCCCGUCACACCAUGGGAGUGGGUUGCAAAAGAAGUAGGUAGCCUAAGGCCCUAGGCGCUUACCACUUUGUGAUUCAUGACUGGGGAAGAACAAGGUAACC
rnacentral:rRNA from 1 species